UACGUAGGGUGCGAGCGUUGUCCGGAAUUAUUGGGCGUAAAGAGCUUGUAGGCGGUUUGUCGCGUCUGCCGUGAAAAUCCGGGGCUCAACCCCGGACUUGCGGUGGGUACGGGCAGACUAGAGUGUGGUAGGGGAGACUGGAAUUCCUGGUGUAGCGGUGAAAUGCGCAGAUAUCAGGAGGAACACCGAUGGCGAAGGCAGGUCUCUGGGCUAACACUGACGCUCAGGCACGAAAGCGUGGGGAGCAAACAGG
rnacentral:rRNA from 1 species